CCCCUCUCAGGGUAGCACCUGGAGAGUUUCCAGUCCUCUACCAGUCUCGGCUACAGGAGGAAGAGUGAAACAGAAGCCUACCCAUUCCAUUCCUAGCCUGGGCAGUGGCUAGGGAGUAGAAGACAAUCUGCUAUAAGU